CGUGCCGACCCGCUCAAUCGUCGACGACGAACCGGGGACCCAGUGCACGUGUGGGGUGAAUCCGCGGGCCCACGGCUCGCGGUAGGGCGAAUUCUUCCCGCCCGAAUCCGUCAGCUAACCCGGUAGGCGGUAUCGGAAGGAGAG
rnacentral:sRNA from 1 species